GGAGCAAGAGGAAGAGGAGCUGAGGACAGGAACUAGAUGCCCGGCACCAGGGGUCCCAGCCUGGUCAAGGACACGAAGAUCAAGUCACUGGAGGAGAUCUGUCUCUUCUUCCUGCUCAUCUAGGAGUCUGAGAUCAUUGAGUCCUUUCUAAGAGCAUGUCUGAAGGAUGAGACCUUGAAGAUGAUGUCAUUGCAAAAGCAGACCCGCGCUGGCCCGGGGACCAGGUUCAAGGCAUUGGUUGCCAUGGGGGACUACAAUGGCCACAUUGGUCUGAGUGUGAAGUGCUCCAAGGGAGUAGCCACUACCAUCCCAGGGACCAUGAUCUUGGUCAAGAUCCUCUAUGUUCCUGUGCGGAGAAUCUACUUGGGGACAAGAUGGGCAAGCCCCACACCAUCCCUUGCAAGGGACCGGCUGCUGCACCUAUGUGAAGGUGCACCUUAUCCCUGCCCACUGAGGCACUGGCAUCGUCUCGAUCUGGGCCCAAGAAGCUGCUGAUGGUGGCUGGCACUGACAACUGCUACACCUCCCUUCAGCCAGGGCUGCACUGGGCAACUUCACCAAGGCCACCUUUGAUGCCAUCUCUGAGACCUACAGUUAUUUGACCCCUGACCUCUGGAAAGAGACUGUAUUCACCAAUUCUCCCUAUCAGGAAUUCAUCAACCAUCUUGUCAAGACCCACGCUAGAGUCUCUGAGCAGGGGACACAGGCUUCAGCUGUGGCCACAACAUAGGGUUUUUACACAAGAAAAAUAAAGUGAAUCAAGCCUGU